rnacentral:siRNA from 1 species
CUACAUGUGGACCGCUUCUUAUG